rnacentral:lncRNA from 1 species
AUGAUAGUGGUAAGUCUCAUGAGAUCUGAUGGUUUUAUUAGGAGGAAUUUCCCUGCACAAGCUCUCAUUCUCUCUUGCCUGCCGCCAUGUAAGACAUGUCUUUGCUCCUGCUUCACCUUCUGCCAUGAUCAUGAGGCAUCCCCAGCCAUGUGGAACUGCCAGUAAAGGAAUAAAAAAGAUCCACCAAGACAGAGAAUUAAAGGAGAGACUCCAGCAUAUAAGAGGUCAACCAUUUAGGAAAACAGAAAGUGGAUACAGAAGUGGCAACUGACGUAGCGGAACAGAGAAAGCUGAAGGCUAAGUUCAAGAGGCGGGGGAAGCCAGCAAGAAACAAGCUGAUUCCUGUUGCAGAACUCUCAUCAGCUCAGCAAUAAGCACCACCUGGUUCUCUGAGGGUCUCACUUCACCCAGGCUGGAAUGCAGUGGUGUGAUCACAGCUCACUAUAGUCUCGAUCUCCUGGGCCUCCCACAUCAGCCUUCUGGAAUUCUGUGAAGCACAUGACCUCAAGUCUUUGGAUAAAUGGAAACGCAGCUUAUGCCGGAAAGAUGGAAGGCUGGCUGUACUAAUAUCAGAAAUGGAAGAGGAGAGACAUCACUAGAGAUCCCAUGGAUAUUGAAAGGAUAAUAAAGGAGUAUUAUGAGCAUUGUUAUAUUUUAUGUCUCCUAUAAGCUGUAAAUUCCUACAUAGCAAGAAUUCUGUCUUACUCAUCCUUUAACAACUACUGUGUACCUUAUAAUGUUUCAUAAAAUAUUAUGAUUUGGU